ensembl:lncRNA
GUUUAAUCAGGUAGGUUAUUGAGAACACAGUCUCUUACAAAAACAACCAAGAGAAGGCCUACGAAAAGGCCGUAGGGACAAUUCAUGUCUAUGUAUUGGGAUGGAGUUUGUUAAUUGAAAAUGGACUAUCUAUAACAACUUUGACUUUAAUUAAAUGAUUACAGCAUUUUAUUUUUGUAACUACUUUUCCAUGAUUAUUUAUAUAUUUCUGCCCUAACUACAUUUAUACAAAAAAAAUAAGUUUUUUUGUAUCCACUGGCAUAUGCACAGCUUUAACGCUGUCCAAAUGGAGAGAAAGACCAGAAGAAGAAAGAAACAGAGAAGACAAUAUUGAUCAGCACCUUUCAUCUUCAAUACUGGUGGCUUUCAUCUUCAAUACUGGUGGCUUUCAUCUUCAAUACUGGUGGCUUUCAUCUUCAAUACUGGUGGCUUUAUACUGGUGGUUUUCAUCUUCAAUACUGGUGGCUUUCAUCUUCCAUUGUACUCUUAAUAGGGAACACUCACUUUGACCAAAUUAUUUUUGACAGACAGAUAAGCAGAUCGUUACAAACAUAUAACCUGAGGGACUGUCUGUUUCUAUUCUGUAUAUCAGGUUCCAAAGGCAUGUGAUGUUGUUUAGUGUUCGGGAUGAUUAGUCCUACUUUAUCUCUCUCCAGCCCUUGAUGAUCAGUGAAGGCUAUUUAACCUCUCACUCUACAAGGUCACUGAGUCUGAACCAGCCAGUCAUCUACAUUCAUAUCCUGUGUUUUAUCACCCUACGAGCCAGGACACAGCCUGAGAUUCUCUGGCAGGCCACUGUUGACCAAUUCAAAGUCUAGGUUGAAAACUAAAGGAGAUCGGGCAUUUGCCCGAGACUUUGGAAUGGUCUGCCAGAGGACAUCAGGCUUAUAGAUUCAGUGCCUCUUUUUAAAUCCCUUACCGAAGACACACUUUUGUAAAGAUGCUUAGUGAUUUUAUUUUACGCUGUGAAGCAUGUUACUUGUAUCGAAAAGCGCUAUACAAAUAAAGUUAUAAUUAUAUUAAACCCCACUAAUCCCUCAAUCCGCACUGCAUCCGUUCCUUCCUGCUGUUCUACCCUGGCCCUAGGAAGCAGGUGAUGAAUCCGUUUUUUUAGUCAUCAAGUACGUAACAAGCAAUCAUUUCUAAAUUGGCCAAGUGGGAGAGGCUAGUGUAUGACGGCAGGGUAUCAUCUGUCUCGGAAGCAGAGAAAUUAAAUGAAGACCUGAUUUUAGAAUUGAUUUAAUAAUUUUCAACAAAGAUAAAUGUUAAUUAUCAGACGAAUGAAACAAACUUAAAAAUUUUUUUUUUUAAAGAAAUGCUUUGUUUCUGUGGAUCCUAACGUAUCUUCUUAGUGAUGUUUUAUUAAGGACUGGUUUUCUGUCUGUGUGGUUAAAGUUAUGGUCCUACAUUUUCCUCCUGGACUUUCUUAUUGUUAGUGAAGUGAGUUUAAAGAGACAGUUGACUUUGAGAUAUUUCCAAUUGAGCCGAAAUAUGCAGCUAUUACCGUGAAUGCAGUGUCCGCGAACACGUCAUGGAUUGAAACUAGGGACUCUAUUCAGUCAUGGAAGUUCAGCGUUACAACCUAAUUUAAAGGCAAUGUUCCCGCUUUAGCGGAGACCGCAUUCACGGUAAACGUUGCACAUGCCAGCUCAAUGGGAAAGGAUCUUAAAAUGUAUAUCGCAGAAUCUGUAACGCUUCAGCGAUCCAGACCGAAUAGCUGAAUGUUGUGAACU